rnacentral:rRNA from 1 species
UACGUAGGGGGCUAGCGUUGUCCGGAAUCAUUGGGCGUAAAGAGCGUGUAGGCGGCUCGGUAAGUCCGCUGUGAAAGUCCAGGGCUCAACCCUGGAAUGCCAGUGGAAACUGUCGAGCUAGAGUCCGGAAGAGGCGAGUGGAAUUCCUGGUGUAGCGGUGAAAUGCGCAGAUAUCAGGAGGAACACCAAUGGCGAAGGCAGCUCGCUGGGACGGUACUGACGCUGACGACGCGAAAGCGUGGGGAGCAAACAGG